GCCCGCUCAGAAACUACAAAGGAAUGACGGGGGCCCGCACAAGCGGUGGAGCAUGUGGUUUAAUUCGAUGAUACGCGAGGAACCUUACCUGGGCUCAAAUGUAUGUUGACGUAUUCUGAAAGGGAUACUUCUUCGGACAAUAUACAAGGUGCUGCAUGGUUGUCGUCAGCUCGUGCCGUGAGGUGUCGGGUUAAGUCCCAUAACGAGCGCAACCCCUAUCAUUAGUUGCCAUCAGGUCAAGCUGGGGACUCUAAUGAAACUGCCUACGCAAGUAGUGAGGAAGGUGGGGAUGACGUCAAAUCAGCACGGCCCUUACGUCCAGGGCUACACACGUGCUACAAUGGCCGAUACAGAGGGCAGCUACCUGGUGACAGGAUGCAAAUCUCCAAAGUCGGUCUCAGUUCGGAUCGGAGUCUGCAACCCGACUCCGUGAAGUUGGAUUCGCUAGUAAUCGCGCAUCAGCCAUGGCGCGGUGAAUACGUUCCCGGGCCUU
rnacentral:rRNA from 1 species